rnacentral:lncRNA from 1 species
UUGUGACAAUGCAAAGUAUUUGAUGUUUUGCUAUAUCUUUUUUUUUCUUAGAGAUAAAAGCAGAUAGACCAAGUUUGCUCACACAAAUCCACAACAUUAUUUACUGGAAUGAAAAUAUAAAAAUAUUAUUUGCUUCAGAGAAUAGCCGUAGGGAGACACUUGAGCGUUAUACUAUAUACCCAAGAAAAGCUUAUGUAAGGACAAGAAGCUCUCCAUUAGUGCAUUUGACAAAAUCUUCAGAAGAAAUAUGAGUUUCUUGAAGCCUGUAAUUUACACAACUCCUAACAAAUUACUCUCAUUUCUGCCUUACGAUGAUUUUCUGUUUGAAGUCACUCCAAACCUCUUGUGUUAUAAGACUCCGCAUUUUUCAUACAGAUUGUUUUUGGGCUACUGAACACAUGAAAGAGGUUAAAAAGCAUUUUCCAUGCAACUCACUGACACAGCACCUCCAAGCCACAGAUUCUGGGGGACCUCAGGAUGCUUAGAUCUAGAGAUAAGCUGUGUCAUGAAAUAUGGGUGGUGAGAGCAGCCUAUGGAGGAGAAGAGAGACUGAAGUUGGAAGCCAUGAGGUGUGUGGCUGCCUCUGGUUAUUGCCCUCUUUCUGCUCUCAUCAGUGCCUACAUUCAGAAACCUGAACAGGAAAGAUAUUCUGAUUUACAGAGUAAGUUAAUGUUUGUUUCUUAUGCUGUUCUGCUGUCCACGGCUGAGAUUUGACAUGUAUAUAAAGUUAGCAUAAACCCAAAUGUUGAUAGCAUGUAUCAAUUGUGUUAUCAGGUGCCACUUCUAAAGUGUUCUGAAAGCACACCUCCUCACAUAGUCAUGCUGUUCCUGUGUUUCAGUGGCAUUUGCAGAGAUAGCCCAUGUUGU